UGAAAUGAGAAUUUCAUUAUCCAAUAAACUUCAUGCUUAACAUUCUUUCCUAAUGGAUUUGAUAACUUAUUGGGAUUGGACAUUUAAUAUGAUUGAGAUUGAUAUAGUCAAUUGAGGUUGGAUUUAUUCACCAAUGGCGAAAGCACUCUGCUGGGCCGACACUGACACUGAAAGACGAAAGCUAGGGAAGCGAAUGGGAUUAGAUACCCUAUAGUACUAGUCGUAAACGAUGGAUACUAGGCGUUGUGUGUAUCAACCCGUGCAGUGUUGUAGCUAACGCGUUAAGUAUCCCGCCUGGGGACUACACUCGCAAGACCGAAGCUCAAAGAAAUUGACGGGGGCCUGCAUCUGAUUCCCACAUACAAGACUUUGAUCAAUCAUACAUGAUAGGAGAGAAAUCGUCUGAUUAAGAAAGAAGGGUUCCGCCUAUUGCUAAUACAAUACAGGGAUAACCCUGACAUGACUCAAUUCCCGU
rnacentral:ncRNA from 1 species